rnacentral:misc_RNA from 1 species
ACACCUCAACUCUCGUGGCUUGCCAUGAUGAGCUUGGACUUUGGGGGUUUUGCUGGCCUACGGCCGGCUCCUCUCAAAUGAAUUAGCUUGCCAGUGUUUGGUGGCAUCACAGGUGUGAUAAAUAUCUACGCUUGUGGUUUCCCACCAGGUAACCUCCAGUGAUGGGGGUUCGCUGAAGCUCACAAACGUCUCCUCGGCGGAGACAGCUUUUUGAC